AAUAUCAGUCUUAUUUCGAAUGUGAUUGACAAUAGACGUUAUUUCGUUUGUGUGUACAAUCUUCGAGUCAAAAUCGCGAAAAUUACAAAUUCUGAAUCUUAUACGGUCGAUGUGCAUGAGCUAAACGGAUUUUUGUUUUGUUUUGUUUAAAAUACAGUUUGCAUGCAAUCGCAAUGAGCGAACAAUAAAAAAAAUUCAGUAAUUUAAACCUCAGAUAAAUGAAAUUAUUGUGUGAAAAAUAAACCGGAAUUAUUAAAUUUUCGUUCGCUGAUUUUCGGUGCACGCACAUAAAAUUGCCAAAAAUUACCAGUGUAUUUGAAAUCUCGCCACAAACACAAGUUUACAUCUCACCUUCACCAUUUCAUUUCGUUUCGUUUUGGUUUUAAUUUUUAAGUUUUUUGUUUUUUUGCAUUGAAAACAAUGGAAUACGUAUUCAUUUAACUGAAGGAAAUUCCUAGAACGAGAAAUGAUAAGGCAAGAUCCAAAUAGUGCUAAAAAUAAAAAUAAUAACAAAAAAACCGAAUAAAAACCAUUCAAUCGAACUACAUAUGUGUAUGUUAUUUCUUCGUAUGUAAAUCAGAUUUAUGACAAUUUUUCUCUUUCGCUCAUCUCUUUCGUGGUUAUGACUAUCGCUAACUUCGCAAUUUCAAUUCAGACAUUUCUGUGUAUUCCCAUACACAACAACCGAUAACCGGACAGAAGUGCACAGUCGACGAGUGAGCUUACUUGUUGUUUGCAUAAAAUAAAGCGAUACCAAAGCGAAAAAAAAACAACAAAUUAUACAAAUAGAGUUCGUGUAAAAAAAUAUUGAGACAAAAUAUAAAAUUCUCAUACACACAUCAUCUUUAGCUACGUGUAUAUACAGCUCGACAAAUAUCAUAAUCAUCAUCAGAGCCCGAGAGAAACAACUUGCUGCUGCUGCUCGCUUACGUUUGGGUUUUUUUCGUGGUCAUUUUCGAUCGCUACGAGUAAAGUUGUUUUGCUUGUUCCGUAUAGACAACGUCAAUUCGAGAAUACACAACAAAUUAGCAGCACACACAAGUUAAGCCAUAUAUUGAAAAUAGCGUACAUAUACGCACAACUACAAAACCAUUGACGAUCGCAACUGUAUAAAUUAUGUAAUUUCAAUUGCCAAAACAAAUUUUGUGUAAAUUGUAUUGGCGAAAACUGAAUACAAAAGAAAGAAACAGCAACAAAAUAGUGAAAUUGAACGUACGUGUUAGUGUUGCGUUUUAGAUGUGACUUAAGUGAAAGAUCGAACCAAAUGUAUUGAAUAUUUAACACAUUUCUGUUUCGACACCAAAAUAUAUAACUUGAAACUAAUCGACGAACGAGAAUAGCGAGAGAAAAAAAGCAUUCUAUGGGCGUCUUUCGUAUCGUAAUAAAGUGAACAUCACAUUCUUGUGACGAUAAAAAAAAAUCAACGGCACAAGUUUAUGUACUUGCUCAUUUGAUACAUGUCGACUUCAAUUCAUGAGAUGGACGUUUUAUAUCGAGUUUUUUUUUUCAUGUUACCGUGAUCCGGUUGAACUUUUGAAUUAAAAUAGUAAUAUCAAUCAAAUAAAUAACAAUCAGAAAUUUUGAAAAAUAUAUAUAUAAAAAAACACGAAUUGCUUAAAAUCUUCGUAUCGACACAAGAAAACCCAAAGAAGAAGCGAAGGAAACGAGUUUUAUUUCGAUUUAUUGUGUGUGAUUGAAUGAACGGUUGGUGACCAUCAAAAUAAAAGUGUUAAAAAUUGAGGAAAACAACAACAAGAGAGAAAGAGUGGGAGAUACUGAAACAUCAACUCAUUGCGCUGCUGCUCCAUGAAGUAAUCUAAAAGCGAACGCACAAAUUAAAAUUAUUCAAUUUCGCUAAUAAUAAUUUUGCACGUCACGAUAUACUCUCAAUGCUUUUAUACUAACAAAACGCACACUGACUCCAUUUGAGACGAACGGCAGAGUUUUUGAGUGACAGCAGCGUAUUGUUGCGGCAAUUCGUUAUUUAUUAUCGCCAACACAAUUGAAUGUUAAUUAAACUUUGCGCGGUAUAAAAACAAUUUUGUGCUAACGCCGAACACUGUAAGUACAAAAACGCAUCAAUCUCAAAAACUUUACUCCAAAAGAGCUCUGAGACAAAAAUUACAUGCGUUUAAUUGUGAAUCAGUUGUUUAAAACGUCUUGUUUUCUUAAGUUUUGAAAUAACUUCUGAUAUUUGAGUAUCAUCAAUUGCAAUUAUCAAACUAUAUAAUUGGUUUUGCAAAACUGAAGUGCUGAAAAAAAAUCAUCCGUAAAUUCUGAAGAAAGUUUUGGUAUAAAUUAAACUAUUGAAUUUGCUGAUAUAAAAAAAUACCGCCCAAAUCAACGAGUGUGACAUUUUACCAACCGCCCGAAUUACAGAAACACAAUUACAUCACAUUGGCGAUAUAAAUAAUUUGGAAUUCGAUCCACUGGGAAAGGCCAAAUAUACUCAAUUAUUUAAUAUUUGGAAGCGUGGUGUGUAAUUAAAGAGCUGCUAAUUAGAUGGAAUUCUAAUACAACAAUUACAUGCAAAGAAUUUACAGUG